rnacentral:rRNA from 1 species
UAGUCAUAUGCUCGUCUCAAAGAUUAAGCCAUGCAUGUCUCAGUACACGCUUUAUCAUGGUGAAACCGCGAAUUGCUCAUUAAAUCAGCUAUCAUUUAUUUGAUCAAACUGAAACACGGUAACUGUAGUAAUUCUAGAGCUAAUACGUUCCAACAUGCCUUGACUCACGAAAAGGUGGAUUUAUUAGAUCAAAACCAAUCGUGGUAACACGUUUGUAUUGAUGACUCUGGAUAACUUUACUACUCGAACGACACUAGUUGUCAUCAUUCAAGUGUCGCCCUAUCAACUUUCGAUGGUAGAGUAUUGGUCUACCAUGGUUAUAACGGGUAACGGGGAAUCAGGGUUUGAUUCCGGAGAGGCAGCCUGAGAAACGGCUACCACAUCCAAGGAAGGCAGCAGGCGCGUAAAUUACCCACUCCUAGAUCAGGGAGGUAGUGACGAAAAAUAACAAUGACGGGACUCUUUAGAGGCUCCGUAAUUGGAAUGAGUACAGUUUAAAUCCUUUAACUAGGAUCAAUUGGAGGGCAAGUCUGGUGCCAGCCGCCGCCGCGUAA